UCAUUUGUUCUCUAAAUAAGGACUUGUAUGAAUGGCCGCACGAGGGUUUUACUGUCUCUUACUUCCAAUCAGUGAAAUUGACCUUCCCGUGAAGAGGCGGGAAUGCACAAAUAAGACGAGAAGACCCUAUGGAGCUUUAACUAACCAACCCAAAGAGAAUAAAUUUAACCAUUAAGGAAUAACAACAAUCUCCAUGAGUUGGUAGUUUCGGUUGGGGUGACCUCGGAGAAUAAAAAAUCCUCCGAGCGAUUUUAAAGACUAGACCCACAAGUCAAAUCACUCUAUCGCUCAUUGAUCCAAAAACUUGAUCAACGGAACAAGUUACCCUAGGGAUAACAGCGCAAUCCUAUUCAAGAGUCCAUAUCGACAAUAGGGUUUACGACCUCGAUGUUGGAUCAGGACAUCCUGAUGGUGCAACCGCUAUCAAAGGUUCGUUUGUUCAACGAUUAAAGUCCUACGUGAUCUGAGUU
rnacentral:rRNA from 1 species